GACGUAGGGCGCGAGCGUUGUCCGGAUUUAUUGGGCGUAAAGAGCUCGUAGGCGGUUUGUCGCGUCGGGAGUGAAAACUCAGGGCUUAACCCUGAGCCUGCUUCCGAUACGGGCAGACUAGAGGUAUGCAGGGGAGAAUGGAAUUCCUGGUGUAGCGGUGAAAUGCGCAGAUAUCAGGAGGAACACCGGUGGCGAAGGCGGUUCUCUGGGCAUUACCUGACGCUGAGGAGCGAAAGUGUGGGGAGCGAACAGG
rnacentral:rRNA from 1 species